CCUACGGGAGGCAGCAGUGAGGAAUAUUGGUCAAUGGGCGCGAGCCUGAACCAGCCAAGUAGCGUGAAGGAUGACUGCCCUACGGGUUGUAAACUUCUUUUAUAAAGGAAUAAAGUGAGGCACGUGUGCCGUUUUGUAUGUAAUGUAUGAAUAAGUAUAGGCUAACUCCGUGCCAGCAGCCGCGGUAAUACGGAGGAUCCGCGAGUUAUCCGGAUUGAUUGGGUUUAAAGGGAGCGUAGAUGGGUUGUUAAGUCAGUUGUGAAAGUUUGCGGCUCAACCGUAAAAUUGCAAUUGAUACUGGCAGUCUUGAGUACAGUUGAGGUAGGCGGAAUUCGUGGUGUAGCGGUGAAAUGCUUAGAUAUCACGAAGAACUCCGAUUGCGAAGGCAGCUUACUAAACUGCCACUGACAUUGAUGCUCGAAAGUGUGGGUAUCAAACAGGAUUAGAUACCCCUGUAGUC
rnacentral:rRNA from 1 species